rnacentral:rRNA from 1 species
UAGGGAAUAUUGGACAAUGGGCGCAAGCCUGAUCCAGCCAUGCCGCGUGAGUGAAGAAGGCCCUCGGGUUGUAAAGCUCUUUUGUCCGGAAAGAAAAGCUUUGGGUUAAUACCCCGAAGUCCUGACGGUACCAGAAGAAUAAGCACCGGCUAACUUCGUGCCAGCAGCCGCGGUAAUACGAAGGGUGCAAGCGUUACUCGGAAUUACUGGGCGUAAAGCGUGCGUAGGUGGUUCGUUAAGUCUGAUGUGAAAGCCCUGGGCUCAACCUGGGAAUGGCAUUGGAUACUGGCGGGCUAGAGUGCGGUAGAGGGCAGUGGAAUUCCCGGUGUAGCAGUGAAAUGCGUAGAGAUCGGGAGGAACAUCUGUGGCGAAGGCGACUGCCUGGACCAGCACUGACACUGAGGCACGAAAGCGUGGGGAGCAAACAGG